rnacentral:lncRNA from 1 species
CAAGUUAUAGUAUAUAGAGAGACAAGAAAGGGCCUUUUUAAAAUCAAUCUCAUUAGUUUAAGUAUGAGGCUGAAAUUGGGGGCAGAGAGAAGGGAUGUUUCUAAGGGUGGUUACCCCUCUGUGUCAUUACUCCAUUAAAGCCGAUGAUCUACCUCUCGUGCCUGUAUUAAAUCAACAACCCUUUUCCCUCCUCCUCAUCCCCCCUCCUUCUCCUCUUCCCUGCUGGAGCUCAACUUUCAGUUGUUCUCUCCCUUUAAACUUGUAACUGUGUGAAUGAGGCUGUGAUGAUGUCUUAUAAAGAAAGGCAGACCAGGUCCGAAUCAAUCGUAGCUUGGCAACAAAUCUGAUGGUCUGAUGUGAGAGAAAUGGAGAGAAAUAUAUGGAGUUUCCAACUCCUCUUUUCCUCUUUUUUUUUUCUCUCUCAUACAUGGCAACUGUUGUUGCAGCCGGUUUGAUCUUUGUCUGAUUAAAGGCGAAUCUGAGCCCCCUUGAAAAUUGAAAUUGGAUUUUUUUUGGUUUUACAACGUUGUGAAAUUGUGCCAAGUAUUCUAUAAACCCUGGACCCCUGGUAUUGAGAUUUCAAUUUUCUCACUUAUGUAUGGAAAAACGUAGGGUUAGGGUUGGAUAGAGACUGAAUUUUAUCCCAUUUUUAAUGAAAAAGUGAGAUUUAAUUUGUUUUCUCUUAAAUAAUUAGGAAAGUGCACUAUUAACGAGGGUUUUUUUUUUGUGGGGAAAAUUCUGGCUCAAAAUUUGUUAAAAGUUGGUCGAAUCAAGUCUCUGUAUCUCCAUAGCUAAUUAGUUUCUGACCAAAAUGUUUGUAGCAAUUCUACUAUAUAUAUUGAUAAAAGAUGGUGAUAAAAGGUCUAUAUUCGAAAUGAAUUAUAGUACUUGUAUACAUUAAAUGUUUUGGGAAUAGAAAGAUCUACGAGACAUCCAAUAACAAUGCUGAAAGAAACAUGGUGGGAAAGAAAGGGGGAGGCUUCAGAAGAAAGAAAAUAAACAAAAGAAGAGGGUGACAAGUAUAGAGGUGAUGUCCGAAUCACCAACAUUCUUUAUUGCACUUGAUUUUAUCUUGUCAUCUGAUGAAGAAGAAUGUGCUUCAGCAGGUGCGGGUGCGGUGGCGUUGCUGCUGCCAAGCUUGGACACAGGAGGUAGUGGUGGAUCAACGAUCUCUGCAAUACUAAGGGGUUUGGCAGGAGGUAAAGGGGGCGGCAGUGUGGCCGGAUCAAUUGUGGUAGCCAUACUCCCCACCAUAGCUGUCGAUAUUGUAUAUGCUUGGGGAUUGGAUUCAUUAAAAUAAGAACAUGGAUUCCCUGCACAACCAAAUGAUAUGAAUUUCAUUCAGCAUCUUAACCAAGCAACUCUUGCUUGGGAUAAUUUUCAAAUGUGCAGCAUGGUAAUGCAAUGUAACAAAGACAUAAACCGAGUAUAAUUUGGUGGUACUUACUUAGGAAUGAGCUUGCUGUUGCUGGGUAAUCGGUUACGAAGCCAUCAAUCUUCAUGUCAACGAGAGUAGCUAGCUCUACAUUAGGAUCUGCGAAGUAAUCCAAACUGAGGAAGAUGAAUUCAUUCCUGAUAGGGUAGGCAUAUACGGAGAUAUUUGCAGCAUGCAAUUCCUCAAUAACUUUGGUGGUGUUGGUGGUAAAGUAGGCUGAAUUUUGUUGAAUGAAUGAACUUUUCUCGAGAACAACUACAUCAGCAUAUUUCUUCACUUCUGCCAGCACUUCCUUAGGUGCAUUACUUAUUGGCAAUCUAACAAAUAAUACUCUUUCGUAAGUUGGGAUAUUUUUCUUGAAUUCGGAUAGUACCGAGCUAUCGUCGGACUGAAUCAUAACCCUUUGAGUAGAUUGCUUGUCGAAGCUGGCGUUGGCCAACGCAGUGGUGACAACAUCAACUAAACUAAAACCCUUUUGCGAUGCUAGAUAGGCAGCAUUCUGGGAAUAAAAUUAAAAAUAAAUAGAAACGUCAGCAAUUUAACUAGUCUAUUUUUUUGUUCUUUCUCUCUCUCUUUCAUAAGAGUGAGCUUAUUUCAUAGACACCGGACUCUUUUAGUUUUAGGAUAAAUGAAGAGCUGAUGUAACACAGACUCCGACUCCAGCUAGCUACUAUAGAUAGAUAUAGAAGUAGUAGUAAUUCUUAAAGAAAGAUGGGAAAGCUCACUUGUAUAUUAAUCAAAACUCCUACAACUUUCUUCGUCUUUGCAAGUUCUAAGAAAUCGGCCAAAGUCAUAAACUUGCCCAUGUUUUUGUGUCCUGGGUUUCUAUAGAUGUUGUAUUCCUUCAAAGGAGUUUCAAUUGUAGCUGCAAUGGGAUAAAGGUUUUUUGUCAGACAAGAUAUAUAGCUAGGGGGUNNNNNNNNNNNNNNNNNNNNNNNNNNNNNNNNNNNNNNNNNNNNNNNNNNNNNNNNNNNNNNNNNNNNNNNNNNNNNNNNNNNNNNNNNNNNNNNNNNNNAUUUACUCACGCUUGAGGGAUAGAAUUUCGUUCCAAGUGAGAUCAAAUGAGAAAACUCCACUUUGUGGUCUAAUUUCAGGGAUAAUAACAGAUCGGUCCAUAAAAGCUGCGAGUACAGUAGUAUAUGCAGAGAGAUCGACAUCACCCAUGCAGAAGGCAACUCCAUCUUUUGACAUUUGGACAUUGCAAUCGAUUAUAUCCGCACCGUCGUCAAUGGCUUUCUGGUAGGCAAGGUCUGUGCAACCAGGGUAGUCUCCACUAGCUCCAUUGUGAGUUAUGAUCAAACCUAUAAAUUAAUUAGGCAAAGUAAUAUGUGUUGUACUUGUAUACUGCCUACUAUCACUAGCAAGUGAAUAUUAAAACUGCUCUGAUAAAUUUUACAUAGACAGCUUUUACCCUAUAAUAUAUAUAACAUAAUAAUUUGUACGCACGCGCAGUCGGUCCUGAUCUCACCUGUCUGAGCUCUAGUUGUAAUGUUCUGGCUCUGAGCAAAGCAUACUGCACCAAUUAAGAAGAGGAGUUUAGAAGUUGGUUAGGUUUGUAAACAUGCAAGAAUUACAAAAUGAGUUUGUUUAUUGGUCUGUCCGUCCGCAUACCGAUGGAAUCUGAUGCAGUGGAAGGGAAAUCCGAAAGCACACCAUCAACAGAAAAAUGAUUGUUGUCGAUAAAUUGGAGGUACUCAUUAACUGGAUUAAAACUGUAAUUGUAAAUAAAGUUAUCAUUUGCAAAAUCAGAAGCAUAUACUUGAAGACCUAUUUUGUGUGCAUCAACUACAAGUGUAGUUGGUGGUUCCGAAAACUUAUCCUUCACCGGAACUAUGUAGGUUUUAGGGACAAGAAUAGCUGAUGCAAAUGGCUUGAUAGCUGCAAGAUUGUCCAGUAUUGAACCAUAUUUUUGCAUGGUUGUGGGCUCAACCUCGUCUUUCCCCAAUAUCUUCAAGAUGAGCUUUGUGCGGGUUUUGUCCACUUUCCCACUCAUAUACUUCAAGAAACCUAUUUCUGGCGACGAGAUGUGGGUUGGCACCCAAAACGUGGAGGAUUCCGAUAUGUAUUCUGCCACACUCAGAUUGUGCUGGUUGUAGAACAUAUCAUACUGCAUUAUAUCAAGCAAUCAAUUAAUUUAACCAAAUUACAUAAGAGUCCGACCAAAGUUGUGUCGAAUACGUGAGGUUGGUUGGAUAUGAUUAUAAGGGUUAAAAAGUUAUGUUUAUUCUAGUACAUAUAUAAAUUAUAUAUCAUCAGACAGACAUACAUACCUCAACAUUUAGCCAUAUAUUUUUAGUUAUCUCUCCGAGGUAGUCAGGAGACGAGAUUGAAAAAGCAUCAUCGAACGAGUUUGUUCGAGUUAAUACGCUUUGUACAUCUGCGGGGGAUCAUCAAACCGAAUUAUUUUUAAAGAAAACAAAAAUAUAUAAUUAAUUAAUGGUGUUCAAUAUAUAUGCAUGCAUGAGGUAGUGUUAAUUAGAUCUUACAAGUUAUAGGAUCUUGGAGAUCAUCCAAGUUAUAGUCCAGAGCAAACCAGCCAUGAAGAUCCCGGCCAUUGACGUUGUAAGUCUUGUCUCCCUUUGGGAAGGCACGCGCUAUUGUUGUUGAUUUGUCAAUGAGGAUUUGUGAUGCGCAAAUUCCCAUAUUGUCCUUUGUAAGAUGAAGAUUGCAGUACAUAAUUGCACCCGGACGACUUGUCUGCAUAGCCAAAACAUAUCCAUAAGCACUCGACUCUGGAGCUACCCCAGAGUAUCCACCCCGUGCUACAACCUCCGGUGGACCUCCUGCAUAUAUAUCCGCAUGCAUUCGCUCAAUCAAAAUUAAUAAUAAAUACAUUAAUUAAUUAAGUUAACCCCCACAUGACCAACAGUACCCACCCACCAUUCAAAGUUAAAAAUUUCUUGUUGGACACUACCACCGGGCCUUCUGUUUGGGGUUUUCCUCCUCCUUUAGGACGUUCAUGCGGGGGUUUUGGUGUCGGCUCAUGAUCUUUUCCGCCUUUAGAAUCAUCGUUUGGGACUACUUUCUCUACUACACUACUACUACUACUACUUGAAUCCACCGCCAACAACAAUAAAACAAAAAACAAUUGCCGGAACAUUUUUUAAUUCAUGCACCUGUACCUGUACCUGUACCUGUAUGUAUUAUCAUAAAUAAAUAAAUAAAUCUACAAAAUUAAACUUGUUCAAAUAAAACCAAAAGAAGAACUAAUUAACUUGAUGAAUUAAUUAAUAUUGAUUGACUGGACUCCACAGAUUAGACAACAUUCCCCGUCGAGUUUCAAGGAGGGAGAAACUCAAAAGGGAAUGUAUUAUUAUGCAAAUGAAUGAAUUGGAAGGAGGUGAGAAGAGAGAUGGAGAGAAGAGAGAUUUGAUAGGAUUUAAUGAGUUUUGCUCCCACACAUUAUUCGCAUAAAUUGCUGGUCAUGCAUUAAUAUUGACCCCUUAUUAAUAUAGCAAAUUAAAGCUUAGCUGGAUAUUGUUUGGCGGCAGGCAGCCACUUCAAACUCUUGCGGUUUCAACAAUACGUACUAUCAUAAUACUAACCAACUAUUUUCAUCCAUUCUUAAUUUAGAUUUCGAAGGGUAUCUUAUAUUUUUGAAGAAUAUAUUUGUCAUUCAAUUAAAAAUACAAAAAUGUUACUCUUUCCGACCUGACCACUUUAAAAACUAAGAUAAAGUAAAUAAAGUAAAAUGUAACUAUGUCACUUAAUAAGGUCCAUUAAUAUAAAUAAAAUAAAAUUACUCAUCAUAAUUUUGUGAAACCACUAAGAAAAAAUUUAACACUUUAUUUAUUCUCUCUUUUUUUCUCCUUAAUAUGUAUAAAAUUUGUACUUUGUUCAUACUUAAGGACAGAGGGAGUAAAUAAGAUUAUAGGUAUCAUCCUAUGAAAAGGAUUAGUCAAAAAAAAAUUAUACCAACUAUAUAUGUCACUAAGAAGAAACUAGAAAGCCAAGGUUAACAAAAAAUCCUAAGAUUCUUCUUUUGGGAAUCUUUUUAACCAAACAUUUUAAUGAUUGAAAAUAUUAUUUUAAAAAUCUAAAUAUUAAAUUUCAUGUUAUCUUACUUAAAUUGAUAGCAUCAUAUAUAUAUAUAUAUAUGGACAAUGAUUCAUAAUAUCUAUUUGGUAUGGAUAAAAAAUGAGCAUAACAAUUAUUACCUCCGUCCCACAAUAAGUGCUUUUUUAGAAUUAAUAUUUUUUCUCAAAAUAAGUGAUGUGUUAGAACUCCAAUACAAUUUUUGCAAUAUUUUCUCAUAUAUACCCUUAUGCAUUCAAUUGUAUUUAUUGCAUCUUACUAUCACUACAAUUAAAUGACACUCAUUAACUCUUCAACUUCAAAGAAAAUAUAUCAAGGGUAUUUUUGCCAUUUUAGCUUGUGUAUUGGUAUGUGUGAUUUAAGUUAAAAAAAUACUUAUUAUGGGACGGAGGUAGUAUUAAAGAUGAAAUCGCUUAAUCGUCAUCCUAUUACGCCUGUGUUAUAUGUCCGCUAGGUGUUCUAGCGGAUGCAAGGGACAUAAGACAAUACAACAAAGUCACAUAAGUUAACCCAGACCAAAUCAGUACAGGAACAGCAUGUCAGCAACAACACAUAAAAAUUCACAAGACAUGAAGGUAACCCAGUCCGAAUCCAUAGCACAACAACAUCACAUCAAACAUUGCACAUCAAACAUUCCAAAUCCAAUUCUAUAGCACAUCAAACAUUCCAAAUCCAAAUCACAACAACAAGAAACAUCAAAUUCCAAAUCCAAUACAUCCUAUUCCAAAUCAGCAACAUGCCAGCAGAAAAUCAAACAUUCCAAAUCAUUUGCACACACUCUGCGGCUCCCUGCAUCAUUUGCACCAUAUAUUGGAUGUACUUUUCGAAGUGUUCUCCAUUUGCAAGAGUAAUAUCCCCAAAGGAUGAGAAUGUAGGAGGUUUGACAGAACGGUGUAGUUCACCACUAGAGAGAUCCUUGAGGAGAAGAGUCAUGAUCCCAUCACAGUAUGGCAAGAUCUUGCCAUCUAAAGCACGACAAAUACCGCCAACCACCCCAACUGCGAUCGCACAGACCAGUUGCUCAAAAUUUUGAAGACCCACAGUAAGCAUUGCUUCUUCAUGUACUCUUGUUUUUCCCUAUCAUCUGAUGAUCCAAUUUGGAGCUCAGCUGACUUGGCCUUAGUGGGGUAAAAUCAGUGGCGGAACCAGAACCUUUUUGUAGGGGAGUCAAAAAUUUUAAACCAAGCGGCGACGGGCGGGCGGCGGCGGUAGGCGGCAGCGGCAGGAGUUGAUUGAACUAUAAUUAGAGUUUCUGCAGAAGCUCUAAAGAGUUAGAAAUACAGAGGAGGAGAAUCCGAAAAAUUUGAUGGAAGAAUUCGUAACUGUAGAGAGGCUAGAGCGAAAACUGGUUGAGUUGGAAUUAUUGCAAUAGCAGCUGUAGUUAAUGUUUUAGGCAAUUAUCAACAGCCUGCUGCCCCCCUGCCCCGGCCCCCUCCUAGUUCCGCCCACCGCCUGACCGGCGACUGCCUCCCUACCGCGUCCGGCGUCCGGGGGCAACUGCCCCCACCCGCCCCCUGGUUCCGCUAGUGGGUAAAAUCGACCCAUAAAAAUUUUAUAUCCGUCCGCUAGAAUUACUAGCGGAUGACAAAAUAUUUGCUCAUUUUUGAUUCAUAGCAAGUCGAUGGUAUGGAUCAUUGUCAUAUAUAUAUAUAUAUAUAGAUAGAUAGAGAGAGAGCAAGGAUCAAGUGCAUACUCCUUAUCUUACUCACCCGUGCUCACCCCCCUUUAGGCGACGAUUUUGGUCAUACAACCGUCGCCUAUACUUUUAGCGACGCUAUAUGUUGUCGGUCGCUAAAAGUAUAGGCGACUGUUGUAUGACCGAAACCGUCGCCUAAGGGGGGUGAGCAUGGGUGAGUAAGAUAAGGGGUAUGCAUUUGAUCCGGACCGAUAUAUAUAUAUAUAUAUAUANNNNNNNNNNNNNNNNNNNNNNNNNNNNNNNNNNNNNNNNNNNNNNNNNNNNNNNNNNNNNNNNNNNNNNNNNNNNNNNNNNNNNNNNNNNNNNNNNNNNGCUUACCCCCAUUUAGCGACGGACCGGGCUACAAUUCGGUCCUUCGCUAUAUAUAAAAUUAUCGUCUUAACUUUUAGCGACGGACAACAUAUAGCGACGGAUAACAUAUAGUGACGAACCGAACAUAUAGCGACGGAUCAAAUUAUCGUCCGGUCAGUCGCUAAAGGAAAGUGAACAAGAUGAACUAGAUAAGGGAUAAACUUAAGAUCCGGACCGUAUAUAUAUGACACUAUGGGACAUAUAGGGUAGCUUUUAUUGAUAUUUACAGUCAGUUUUUGUAAAAUUUAAAAAUAGUACUCUUUUUUGUGAGGUAAAGAAAUUAAAGUAAUUUAUUACUAGCUAUUAAUAACAAAUAAUCAUGACAUGCACCGUAAGCAAAGGUACGUUUGAUUCCAUAUUAUGAAUAAAGACUUAAAAGCAUAACCACAAAUCUAAUCUUCCAUAAACAAUUAUUAGUUUAUGCGCGUGUAUAAAUAUUUUAAUUUUCAAGUUCAACACAAUUUUUUGAAUGAAAUUGAUAAUUUUACAUGAAAAUCGUUUCUAUGAAAUUGAUAAUUUUACAUGAAAAUCGUUUCUAUAAAACUCAUAACUAAUGUUUUUAUUGUCACUAUACAUCUACAUCGACACUUUUCAUGUGAAAAUAUCAAUUUACUUUUUUGAAUUAAUCUACCAUAAUAUGUAGGAAAUUAUUAAAUUCACAAUAUUUUUUGUUAUUUUCACAACAAAUGUAUCGUUGUAGAUGUAUAGUGACGGUGAAAAUCGUCACUAUAUGAUCUAAAGCGACACUUUUAUUAUAAAAAUAAUAAUUUUUAUUAUAAAAUUAACAAUUUCUUAAUAUGUAGUGUAGUAGGUCUAGAGCUAGCCGUUGCAAUAAUGAAACUUUACUACUAUUUUACUACUUUAUCUAUUAUGAUCCAUACCUCAUCUAUUACAAAAACUCUACUUGGGCGAUAUAAAAAUUAAACAUGAAUAUAUUUGAAUUUUAUUUAUUUAUAUUUUAACACAAGACAAAAAUAUAAAUAAUUUAAAUUCAAAUAUACUUGUGUCUAAUUUUUCCUAUCCGCAUAAAAAAGCUCUAUCUAUUAUCUACAAUAUUAGCCUAGCCGAGGGAGGCCAUGGCCCCAUCUAGCAUUUCUAAAAUUUCACUAUAACUCUGGAGCUCUUUUAAGUGGAUAUUAAAAUUAGACAUGAAAAUUGAACAUGAAUUUAUUUGAACUUCACUUAUUUAUAUUUUUACUCAUCAUUGGAGGUCAAAAUACAAUUAAAUAAAAUUCAAAUAUAUUCAUGUCCACAUAGAAUUUUUGAUAACUCUAAAAAUUGAAUUUAAAAACCUUACCAUAUUUCUUUUGUAAUCUUUUAUGUAAAAUAUUCAACAACUAAAAAACAUAUCUAUACACUUAAUAAAGUGGUGAACCCAUUCCAAAAUAUAAUACUUUACCAAUAUCGGUAAUAAUUAACUAAAUUUUUAGUUGUUUUUCAUUUACAAAGAAAUGAAUUAUUUUACUUUUAUAAGUUAAUUGAAUUUAUUGCUUUCAUAAUUAAUUAUUUAUUAGUAACUAUAUGGGAUAGACUCAAUAAUUUUGUACAUGAGAAAGAAUAACUUAGAUUUUCAAUAUGUUCAAUUAAAUAUAAAUUUAUGUAUCUAAGAAAAUUUUGUUUUGAGUGUCGUUUUAAUUGAGAGAUUAAUUUCACUAGAACAUUUCACGCAUAAUAUAUAUAUAUACACUGCAGAAAUGAUCAAGUAAGGGAUUCCUUAUUUUUUUAAAAUGAGGGACUUUUUUUUUUGUUUUUUUUUUAAAACAACUAAAAAAAAAGUUUAAUAUUUUAUGGAACUGAAAUUUUUCCAUAAUACAAUGUUUUAGACGUGUUUUGAAUACCUAUACCAAAAAGUGGUGGUACAGUCUGCCCAGACUGUACAUACAUUUUUUGUUAUACGUACUCAAAUCACACCCAAAAUAUUGUAUUAUGAAAAAAUUUCAGUUCUAUAAAAUAUUAAACUUUUUUUUUUAGUUGUUUUAAAAAAAAAGCAAAAAAAAAGUAAAAAAAAAAAAGUCCCUCAUUUUAAGAAAGUAAGGGAUCCCUUACCUGAUCCUGACCCAUAUAUAUUGUACUUUCACAAACAUAUAGUUAUUAUAUUAAAUAUUAAUAUUACAAUUUUUCAUAAUUAUUUUGGCUCCUCCCGAUUUGAAUUCCUAGAUCGGAGUAAUAUAAUUUAUGCCAUGUUCAUAAUUGUAUCAAUUUUUUUGUAUUCUGUGUUUUAUUAUUCCAAAAGUGUUUAUAUAUAUAUAUAUAUAUAUAUAUAUAUAUAUAUAUAUGUAUUAGAAAAUAUAUACAAUAAUAUUCAAUAUAAAUUAAUACAACUCUUUAAUUAUAAUAAUAUUAUUAUAAUUAUAAUACAUACUAUACUUAUUUAUAAUAAUAUCAAAGGGGGUUGUCAAUAUGUUUAUAUUAGAGCAUCUCUAAUGUCUUUUCAACUAUUUUAGAAUACUUUAAUAGGUAAACUACAUCAGAAAAAUAAUAUUCAACAGUCUUUUCAAUUUUAGUCAUUAAAUCUGCAACCUCCUUCAUUAUUAAGGUUAAAAAUAUUUAUUACUUUUGAUGAAUUUGAUAUAAAAUUCAUUGAAUUGAAAAGACUGAUUAAACACGAAAUAUAAAAAUAAUAAAUAAUAUUUUUUAAAUUAUGAUAUAGUUCAACAAACUUUGAAGAUUUUUUUACUUGUACUCUUGAAUAUGCUCUUACUUUUUAUAGUUUUCAUUCCACGAGUGGACCCCAACCCUACGCAUGGUCCACAGUUUCUAUAGUUCAAAUUAGUCCUUCAGUCCUUGUCAUACAAUUAUACAAAGACAUACUCCCUCCCUUACUUAAUACAUGUGAUUUUAGAGUCACGUACAAAUAUUAAAAAAAAUAAUUAUAUAAUAUUAAAUGUUUAUAUUAAAAAAAGUGAGUGUUAUUUAGUGAAUAAAAAAUAAUGAAAAAAUUAAAAUUAUAUUUAAUAUUUGGAAUAAUAUUAGAAAUUAAUCAAUUAAUAUUUAAUUAAAAUUCUUAAACGACUUAUAUUAAGUGACAAAAAUACUUCUCUAAAACGACUUAUAUUAAUGAACGGAUGAAGUAUUUAUAUACAGACCACAUAAUUUUUCUAAAUAACUCCAUUAAUCUCCUUCUCGAUCGAGAUGGUAUGAUCAAUCCAAAGAAAUUAAUACAACUGAAAAAUACAUAAAUAUAAAAUAAUUUAAUUAAGAAACAACGUACUCUUAAACAUGUACAUGUAGUAUUAACUCACUUAUUUGUACACAUAACGUAAUUAAGAAAUUAAUAAAAACCAUGGAAUUCUUGCGGUGAAAAAAAACACUUAAAUGAUUAAAAAGAAAAACCAAGUUGAACCCAUAUAUAUUUCUAGUUAAUUAUAUAUGCAAAAUAAUUAACUCAAUAAUUAAGUAAUUAAUGACGUAUAUAAUUUAUUGAUUAUAUAUCUAGCUAGCUAGUUGCGAGGGCGGGUAUUCUCCGGUCCGGCAACCCCGGUGACCACCUUAGCCACGUCCAAUGCGGUAGCUUCGGGCUUCUUGUGGGAGUACAGGGUAAUGUAGCCAAUGCCCACAGCAACGGCAAACCCACCGAUAGCCAUUGUUGGACGAAAAUGCACUUUGCUCCUCUGUUGAAGAACUCCGGCUGCGUGGGCUCCGGCAUUUUGAAGUUUUGGCCUUGCCUGCUGAUCGACUCCGGCGGGUGCGUGUGAUCCGGCUGCCAUUUUCUUAUUUUAUUUCUCUCUUCUUCCUUUUAAAUAUAUAUAUAUUUUUAUGAUCUAUAUAUCUUUCUUUCUAUAUAAUUAAUGUUGUUUAAUUUAUGGGUUUUUAGGUGUGCAUGUGCAUGGUUAUGUAGAAGUUUAUAGAGAGAAGAAAUAGGGGAUGGGAGGGAGUAAUUUAAUUGGCUUCAUGACCUCUAGUUUAUCUUUUUCGCCGUUGUUUGAGGACCUACCUACCUACCUACCUACCUACCAACAUUUGACUUAAUUGAGACCAAUCUAGAUUAAAGGAAAAGGAACAAACACAAAAUGAAUCAAUGAACGGUACUUGAUUGGUUUUUUUGAUUAUUAAGUUAAUAGUCUAUUUUUUAAUAAAUUUUAAGAGUUUAUAUAUUUGUAUUAAGAAUUUUUGUAAAUAAUUUAUACUCAUAUUUAUAUCUUAAUUAUUCGGAGUGAACUAUUAAAAUGUAUUAAAAUGCAAUCAAAUAAUACCUUAAUCAAAUAUAGUUAUCGAUAAUGAUAUAUAUUGCGAAUAUUUAUAUUAUUUUUUUGAUUAUUAAUUAUAUCAAUAAGUAUUAAUGGGGAUAAAAAACCCGUAUCCAGUAUCCAACAACUCAAACUAUACAAGGGGAUGGUAUAAUUUGGGUUGCUGGAUACGAGAUCUUCGUAGUAGGAUGGAUGUCCUCCUAUAAUUUCUAGCAAUUUUAUGUAUUCAUAAGUCUUACAAUUGUAAUUUAGUAUAAAUUUAUCAUAAUACAUAGUUGGACUUUAUGAUUAUUAAAGAAAAAAGAACAUAUAUAUAUAUAUAUAUAUAUAUAUAUUCAGCAUUAAUUAAAAUUGGGUAUAAAAAGUAUUCAAUAUGGAAAAAUAUUAAGUUUUGGAUAGGGAAAGAUACCUCACGUUUUAUAAUUAAAAAAAUAUCUUUUAAUUUUUAAAAUGAGAAAAUAAUGAAUGUGUUAAUUAGUUUUCCAUUUAUUAAAGGAGUUGUCAACAUUUUGAGAGAAAAAAUUUCUCAAAACAGCUAGCGUAAAUGGUGCAUUAACAAGUUCUACCAUGUGUAUUAAUUGCACAUUUUACAUUUACACUAAAAUUAUAAUUUUUGCACCAGAAAUAUCAUUUCACUUUAUUAAGAAUAUUUUUUUUCUUUAUCAAUUUAACAAAUUUAAAUAAUAAUCUAGUAUAAGUACAUACUUAUAUGACCUGUCAAAUUGAAGGAUACACACUACAAAUGUAAGGUUCUCAGCCCUCCACGCCUCAUAAUACCUUUUCAAUAAAAGAGAACAGCUACAGGUUAUGUUCUUCAUAUAAAUAUACUACCCACCUAAAUCUCAAUCUCCCUCUCUCACACAUAUUCACACAUUGUGAGUGUAAAUGGCCAAGAAAGAGAUGGAAGUAGUAAAGGGUAUAGACCUAGAAAAGUACAUGGGCAGGUGGUAUGAAAUAGCUUCAUUCCCUUCAAGAUUUCAACCCAAAAAUGGUGUCAACACAAGGGCAACCUACACUUUGAGAGAUGAUGGUACUGUCAAUGUUCUGAAUGAGACCUGGACUGAUGGGAAAAGAGGGUUUAUUGAAGGAAGUGCUUAUAAGGCUGAUCCUUCUAGUGAUGACGCCAAACUCAAAGUCAAAUUCUAUGUUCCUCCAUUCCUCCCCAUCAUUCCUGUUGUUGGAGAUUACUGGGUUUUGUACCUUGAUGAUGAUUAUCAGUAUGCUUUGAUUGGCCAACCCUCCAGGAAGUAUCUAUGGGUAUGUUCAAUUAUUUUUUCAAUUUACAAAUAUAAUUAUGCAUAGAUUUGUAAUUCAUGUGCAGAAUUACAUAACUCCAAAUUCACAUGCAUGUACUAACUUCAACCUAAAAUUGCACAAAAUUUGUUUGUGAUGGCAAAACAUUGUAAUUGGCUACCAUUAUCGCUGCCUGGUUUUUUUUCCCUUCAAUAAUAAUUAGGAUUAAUAAAUUUGGGUUUCCUGUAUUGCUUUGGGGAGAAACUAUAUUUGACCCAUUAAAUUUAAUUAAGCUUUUUGGGUAAUAUUUAAUGGCAUCAAUUACUUGAACAAAAUAAGUGAAUAACAUUAACACUGUGAUUCAGAGGAAGGAUUCUAUUACUUUAUAGAAUUGGAUCAAAUUAAGCUUAGAACUUGGAUUAAUUCCAAGACAUGGAUUGUAUUACUCCAAAUGGUGAAUUUUACAAGUUAUAUUACAGAAUAUUUUUUUCUUUCUUGUUGUUGCCGUUAUAUUCUUAUUGUGAUUGAUUAUUGUGGAUGGUGUUUGGUUUCAGAUAUUAAGCAGGCAACCCCAUCUUGAUGAAGAAGCCUACAAUGAGCUUGUUGAAAGGGCUAAAAAUGAAGGCUAUGAUGAUGUCAGCAAACUGCACAAGACACCACAAACUGAUCCUCCACCAGAGAGUGAAGAAGAUACCAAAGGAAUUUGGUGGAUCAAAUCCAUUCUAGGUAGAUAGAAGGGAAAGGGCAGAUGGUGUGGGCACAGAUUAUAUCAGCUAUAGCCUAUAGCAAUAAAAGCGUGUAUGAGUAGUUUUUAUUUUGCUUCCAAGUUUUGCUAGUAUGAAAGUAACGUUUAGUUGUGGUACGUACGUAUGUAUUUAUUGUGAUUUGUGGGUGACUUGUUGGUAUUUUCAGUUGGAAAUGGAAGAAAUAUGAAACUUAGGUUCUAAGGAUGAGCGGUGGGGUCUUGUUCACAACUUAUAUCGGUCUUUGUCAAUCAAUGGAUUAGGUGGUGCCUACUGAAAUAUGCUUGUAACUUGAUGCGAUUGUAUCCGUAUGCAUGUGCUUUUAUAUUCCACGGUUGUUGUGUUUGCCUGUUUAGUUUGUUUAGUUGCCCAAAGAAGCUGCUGUAAACAAACAAGCAGUAAUUAACUCUUCCCAGCAUUGCUCUGCUGUCUACAUAUUUUUUUCUAGUUUAAAUUCAAGCUUACCAUUCAUAAUAAACAUUGCAGAGAUGGUUAAAUCAUGAUCACCAGGUAACCAUUGGCAUUGGGUAAGGACCAAAAGUAUAAGUUAGUAAUUGAAGAUAAAAAAAAUUGAACUAGUACACAAAAAAUCAAGGACAUUUCUGGUAGGCUUGUUUUUGAGAUAUUAUUCCUAUCCAUUUUGUAAAGAAAAGAAUGACAGGACACUGGAAUGUGCAAAAAUCCAUAUUUCAAAAUGAACUGGCUGCGGUGUUAUAUGUGGAUGCCAUAAACAACCCCAAGUAAACAAUGAGACAGAAUUGAAUUAAUGUAAACAAGAAGUAAGCAUACAAAUAGUAUAUUUUAACAAGAAAAACAUUGCCAAUAGGCCAAUACUAUUCAGUAUUUGCUUUCUUCAAUCUCACAAGCCAGGAUACAAGAGGGAAGAACCUAUGUUCCAUCUUGAAACAAUCUAUUAGCGAUAUUGACAAUAAUUUUGUGAAUCGUCAUCACAUUUAACAGUAUGACAAGGAAUCCAUGGUCGCUUCAGACGCUUUUACAAUAUUGUACAGCAUUGAUUGGUUUUCUUCGCCUGCUUGUAGAACAUCUGUUUAAGAAUAUCACCAGUAGGCUCUUGUGUCAGCAGUGACCCCGUUUAUUUUCACAGCAAUAAAACAAAGGAUCAUAACAUAGAAUUUAAAUUAUAGAUCCGUAUAAAAAAAAAUACAACUUCUUAUAAAAGAAUCCACAAUCAUGGGAAAAAAAAUAAGGGCCAUUAACAGGUGACAAGCUUCUUGAAGAGAUGAGAAAGGUCUCACAUGAAUAUACUGAAAAACAAUGAAACAUGCUUUAAAAAGCACGAGAGAUGGCAUCAAUCCGUAAAACAACCACCACCUCAACACUUGGCUUUUCCACUAGGCUAAGUGGGUUGAAUCAUGACCCAAGGAUUUUCCUUUCCUACUAUAAUUGGAAUGAAACUAUAUAGCAUACACCUCAAACUUAGCAGUCAAAUUUCACAACCUUGGAUGUUUUGUCCUCCACUGACCGGGAAUAAUUGACUUCCAAAGACGACAAAAUAACUCAAUAAAAGCAUAUUUUUAUUCAACUAAUAGACCUAACUAGCCUAGAUGUUCAUUUAUAACGUUGUUCUCAUAUGCAAAGAGGUUACAUGUUACAUGCAGGCACAAAGCCACACUGGGCUUAGUAGGUGGUCGGCCAAACCACUCAACUUUCCUCUAAUUUUAUUUUUUUAUAUAUAUAAUAUAGAGCUUAAUUGAGGACUUAAUGAAAAUCACUGGAUAAACUAUGCUUGAGCAAAUAAAGUUCAGAAAUAGUUUUAAUUAAUUUUUCCCCAGAUAGACAUACUUGCAAAAUUACACGAGCAUCUGUACAACAUAAACUAAAACCUGACCUGAACAUAACCUUCUGAAACAUUAAUAGGAAGAAAUACAAAAAAGAUAACUGGUAAACAUGGAAUGAAAAUUGAAAUCAUUUCCAUUGUAGGAAAAAUAUUUUAAAUUAUCCCCAACAAAAUACCAAAAUGCUAACAAAAUGUUUUACAAAAACACAAUGCCUGUAACUGAAACCAAAUAAAUCAGCCCAUAGAAACAGUAAAAACUGUGGACAAGCAUCUUCUCAGUAUCUACACUUAAAUACAGCAGCAAAAUCCAACUCCGGACACUAAGAAUUCAAUCAUGUUUUAUGUUAUACAUGUAUAUUAGUAUCCUCAGAAUUAGUAUAGAUCCUCAUUAUCAGAACCUGGGUCGAGUUGGACAAUGAAGGCAUGAUCCUAGCUAUAUUUUUUAAGCACAGUUUGGAAAAAGCAAAAGUUACUCGACAAUAAAGACGUACACACAUUAAAUCAUCCUAUUGAUAUUUACACCAAAUAGCUGCUGGCUUACAUGGACUCUUCAGUUGAGGGUGAUGACAUGGGUGUGGGUAUGGAUCCAUGUCGGAUCCUUCACAUGUCGAUCAGACACUUCGAGUCACCAACAAUUGAUAUUAUACCCCAUAAACUUGAUGGUAUUUUGAAUUUGAACCAAUAAUUUUGGUACUUCUUUCACUGAAUCUGUCAUACUUAAGUCAUCACAUCCCACUAAUCAUCUUCUAUAAUCAAAAUUCACACUAAAUGUUCGACAUUCUUUCACUAAAUCACAUACUAUUAACUUUAAACAACAUGACUUGUAUCCACAAAACCAUAUCUAAAAAAAAAAACUUUUUCGCUGAGUUCCCGAAUUUUAUUAUUUUAAUAAUAGACAAGUCUAACACCAACACCCGACUCCCAUACCCUAGUCCGUGUAACAUAGUAUAGUUGUAAUCAUGUGAUAAUCUAUAAACUUAUAUAGGCACAUAACAUUUGAAUCGUAGAUUUCAAAAAAGAGUUGCACAACAUUAAAGUGACGAUAGAAUACAAACUUUGCCUUGAGCAAAGUUUGUAAUUUGGUGAGUUCAACUGCGAGGGCCCAGAUCAAAUGUAUGUAGUGUGUACCUGUGAAGCUGUACUAAGAUCCGAACUCUUCUCAACUAAACUGUCCAGCUUCUCCCCUCGAGCAAGAACACUAUCGAUGGUCUUGUGCUGUAGCAAAUAAUAGCAUGCAUGACAUACAUAACAUUAGGCGAAACAAAAGAAGAGCAGAUAAAUAUGAUUUAGUGUGCAAUAGGUGAAAAUUGUCCAUUCAGGUGAACAUUGUAAAACUCUAAUCCAUAUCACCAAAAUAACAAAUAGAUCAUCUUAUCUCACCGUUACAACUAAAGUAAUUACAACAACAAUCCACGGAACAGCAGUAUGUCAUGUAUAACAGAAAGAACCCAUGGCGAUUAAGAUAUUUCAAUGCAUAGCAUUUCUAUACAAGUCAACUCCCAGAAUAAUCCAAGAUAACCAAGGUUGACUCUCCAAGUAUUCAUUGUUGGGUCCUAGCACUAGGUGAGUUGUUUUUACUUUGGUUUUUAAGCACAUUAUUUUGGAUAUUCCAUAUAUGUAACUAAAAAGUACCUUGUGCUAAGAUUUAAAACAAAAACAGUGGCUUGAAACACCCGAGACUACCUAUGAAAAAUUCUCUGAAAAACACUGGUGAAGACCAAAUGUCAAUCCAUACUGCAACCCUUUAUUCGUUUUCUUUGUCACGAGCUGCUAAAUGCAAAUGGAUUUCCUCAAUACCAAUCUCAGCUACUAGCUUAAACCGGAAAAAUGCUAAACAUCCAUUUCACUUGGGGGAAAAAGUUGGUCACUUAUCAAGGGACUUGUGAUAUAUGGAAGUGACAUGAAGGGGUCUAUGACUUGCCAGGGAUCAAUUACAUGUUUGCUAUUUUUAACACGCAAGUUGAUUGUUCGAAGUUUAAUGGCAGCUUUAUUGGGGUAUGGAGAGGAGAUAAACAAGAUCAAGCGGUCUCUCAGCCCCACUUUAUUAGAUGUGGACUAUGGACAGAAAGAAACAUUAAAAAAAAACCUUCAUAAGACGGGGCCAGUAUCAAGUUGCAGCACUUUUCAGUAGUUUUGCUCGUGGAUUUUUUGGGGGGAUGUCCAGUAUUAAGGUAUAGCAUUGUCAGUAGGUGCAGUACUUGUCCGAAGUCUUUCGAUUGGCUCCAUAUUAGGUUGGCCAUGGAAUACUGGUUUGUAGAUGUUAUGGUGGAUGCUUGGUAUCAUAGGUGUCCUUAGUGAUAGUCGGGUGCUUAUUUUUCUCUUUCUUUGUAGAAGGGUUGCACGCUGUUUAAGAGCUAUUGGCUGAAUACACUUUUCUGGUGAUAAGAUAGUUAAAUAAACUUUUUGUUUUCUUUUCUGGAAAGGUUAGAUUUGAUAGUAAAAUAAACUUCCUGUCAACUCUGUCAUAAAAUGUAAUAAAGGGGAAAAAAAAGAGAAAUAUGAAGUAAGGCCUGCAUGACACAUCAUCACUCAUCAUGUAAAAUCAGCCAGUGUCAUCAAACAAAGUUAAUUUAGAGCUCCUUUACAUUAAAAACCAUGCACUAUACAACAACAGACAACCUCAAUUUUUCUAAAAAAAAUUGUCUUUUCUGAUUUGAUAUGGUAAGGAAUUAUAGACAUAUUUGAACUAAGUGAAACCAUAUUUAUUAAUUUUCACCCCAGGUUACAAAAUCUUUCAAGUAACCAAACAGUAGUGCCACACUGCCACACUGAGAAUAUGAUCAACUGGAAAACUAGUAAUAAAUGCAAUUAAAUAUCAGGACUCACGAGUAUAAUUUUUGUUUCAUCCAGUUCCCUCUGGAUUUUCAACAACUUGUCUGCCUCAGCAGGGUCCUGAAUAAACAGAAAAUGGGGUUCAGGUUCAUCAGCAGCUCAAGUUUCAAAACUAUAUGAAAAUUUAGAGUUGAAAAAAAUGGAGAAAUACCACUAAGUCUUAUGUACCCAUCCAACAGUGAUAAAGAAACUUAAUAUCUACCUGAAAUUUUGUCAAAGCAUCAUUGAGGUAGGGCCAUGGUUGAGAGUUAUCUGCUUGCACAGUUCUCCACGACUCACCAAAAUUCUUUUGGUACUCAUCUAUUACCUGACAAGUAUUUAAUAGGUUAUCAGAUCAAAAAUUUAACAGUCUGGCACAUGAACACAUGUAUGCUUAUUAUUCUAAGAUACUAGUAGAGGUCACCACUCACCACCUUUCCCAACACUCGAACCCUUACAGAGAAUGUAGAAAUAGUUCUAAGGGUCCUUCAUGUACUUGUUUACCAUCUUAUAAGGAAUGAUGCAUUGUCCGUCCUUAUUUCCCCCCUUCUUUUCAUUUUAUAUAAUUUCUUGAUUUUUAUUAAUAAUAUAGAACAUGAGCUUACUAGCAUUUAGCAGCAAUAUGUAGAAUGAAAAUAUAGAUGGAAUACUCAAAACAUACAAAUUAUAUUACAGUUUUAGAAUAUCUAUUAUCUGUAACACAGGGUCACGAGUGUCAAACUGUAAAGUACAUGGCAACAUUAAAAGAUCACAAUGCUGGAACACAGGUGAAGCAUGUGUAUUUGAACAGAUGAUUGUAGUCAUAUAUCUAUAUAAUAAAAUAGAAUCCAUUUUGAAUCUUUCAUUUGACCAAGCACAAGAUGGUUCAGAUUCAUUCUAACUUGAUUCUUCCAACUUAAUCUAAAGGCUCAUAUUUCUUCCCGCCCAAAUCAACUUCACCCCUACACCCUACUCUCUCUCAU